rnacentral:rRNA from 1 species
CGUGUAGGCGGUGCUCUAAGUUGGACGUGAAAUCUCCUGGCCUAACUGGGAGGGGCCGUUCAAUACUGGAGCACUUGAGGGCAGAAGAGGGAAGUGGAAUUCCCGGUGUAGCGGUGGAAUGCGUAGAUAUCGGGAGGAACACCUGUGGCGAAGGCGGCUUCCUGGCCUGCCCCUGACGCUGAGACGCGAAAGCUAGGGGAGCAAACGGGAUUAGAUACCCCGGUAGUCCUAGCUGUAAACGAUGGAUACUAGGUGUUGGUGGUAUUAACCCCAUCAGUGCCGUAGCUAACGCGUUAAGUAUCCCGCCAGGGGAGUACGACCGCAAGGUUAAA